GCUGUUUAUAACCUCAAACCUUACUCCCAGUACACAUUCCAAUAAAUUUAUUCUGUAAAAACAAUACAUUUUUUUGUUUUUGAUUUUUUUUUUUUACAGUAAACUUCUCAGCUACAAACCUCAAACACACACAAAAGAUCUUCCAAGGACAAGCAUAGCAGGGUUGAUGAGACCCAAACUGACUAAUGAGUUCUCACAGUAUAAGCUGGCAUAAAAAUAAAUAAGACUCUAUCACCACAAGAGCGACAGUAAUGCACACGUAACAAUGGUUGGCGGAUGAACGUUAACUACUCUAAUUCUAGUUCUAAAAGAAAAGUCUAUUUUAAACUCUGUACUCAAGAGUCAAUGCUUUGUUUCCCACAGUGCUCCUGCUGAGCUCAGCUUUCAGUGUAAAGUGACCAUCUUGAGGGAUUGGCUCAAAUUGUAUUGGCUUUGGGAAAAAAAAUAAGUCCUUGCUUUAUUUUGGUAUGACACAAAAAGACUCAGUAAGUUCACAUAUAAACUUAGUUUGUGGACACAGGAACAUGAGUUUUGAGAAGUAUUAAGUUUCAACUAGCUAUUUCUAAUACAGAAUAGGUAUUGUACAUAUGGUUAAACUUUACACAUGGCCUUAAAACUGAAAGAUGACUCUAACUUCAUCUCCAAUACACCAACAGUAUGUAUCUAGGAGUUGGUUCUUGGGUUCUGCUACAAAGAAAAUCCCAUCCUGAAGUAUUAUGUUGAGCAGUCACCUAACAAUAUGAAUUACUGUUUAGCUGAGUAUCUGAUGAUGGUGGGAGAGAGGCAGGAAGCUGAUGACUUGGAAAAGGAGCCUAGACACAGAGAAGUCUGCAAAAUCUUCAUCAUUCUUAGUGAUUAAGGGCAACUUCAUGCAACCAAAUAACAUAAAAUAAAGUCAACCUUAAAAGGGUUAAAAUGUCUCUUUUUCCUUCAACAGAACAGAGAGGAAUGUGACUAAUGCACACACAUACUGGGGCUCUGUCAAUGACAACAAAGACCGUUGGUUCAUAUCAAAUCCAAAUCCAAGAAUUAGACAAUCAAACAGUUAACCUUCUUGUGGUGUCUCUCAAUAUGCAGCAUUCAUUACGGUAGUUAGGUCUGU
rnacentral:lncRNA from 1 species